CGCCCGUCGCUCCUACCGAUUGGGUGUGCUGGCGAGAUGUCGGGAUUAGUGGCUGUGGGCGGUUCGCCGCCCUCUGCCGCUGAGAACUUCAUCAAACCCUCCCACCUAGAGGAAGGAGAAGUCGUAACAAGGUUCCU
rnacentral:rRNA from 1 species